rnacentral:rRNA from 1 species
AUGAACGCUGGCGGCGUGCCUAAUACAUGCAAGUCGAGCGAACAGACGAGAGUGCUUGCACUCUCUGACGUUAGCGGCGGACGGGUGAGUAACACGUGGGUAACCUACCUAUAAGACUGGGAUAACUUCGGGAAACCGGAGCUAAUACCGGAUAAUAUUUAGCUUCGCAUGAAGCAAUAGUGAAAGACGGUUCUGCUGUCACUUAUAGAUGGACCCGCGGUGUAUUAGCUGGUUGGUGAGGUAACGGCUCGCCAAGGCAACGAUACAUAGCCGACCUGAGAGGGUGAUCGGCCACACUGGGACUGAGACACGGCCCAGACUCCUACGGGAGGCAGCAGUAGGGAAUCUUCCGCAACGGACGAAAGUCUGACGGAGCAAUGCCGCGUGAGUGAAGAAGGUUUUCGGAUCGUAAAACUCUGUUGUAAGGGAAGAACAAGUACGUUAGUAACUGAACGUACCUUGACGGUACCUUACCAGAAAGCCACGGCUAACUACGUG